UCCUCAUCGUGUCUGUUAUCAGCUGACUAGAAAACACUUGCUUUUAGUUCGAUACUUUAAUAGGUCUUCUGAAUUUUCAGUACUUUAGCGAAGACUUUCGUUUCAUCGAACAACGUUCACAGUGAGCGUAGGCGAGCUGUUAUUACGAAUUAUGAAUAUCAAAUAAUAAAGACGUUUCCCUUUCACUGUCAGCGGUAUGAGACAGGAAUGCUGCAUUUAUAAGUCACUUGAGUACACAAAGGAAGCAAC